CCUACGGGGUGCAGCAGUGGGGGAUAUUGCACAAUGGGGGAAACCCUGAUGCAGCGACGCCGCGUGGGUGAAGAAGCGCCUCGGCGCGUAAAGCCCUGUCAGCAGGGAAGAAAAUGACGGUACCUGAAGAAGAAGCCCCGGCUAACUACGUGCCAGCAGCCGCGGUAAUACGGAGGGGGCAAGCGUUAUCCGGAUUUACUGGGUGUAAAGGGGGCGCAGACGGCGAUGCAAGCCAGGAGUGAAAGCCCGGGGCCCAACCCCGGGACUGCUCUUGGAACUGCGUGGCUAGAGUGCAGGAGGGGCAGGCGGAAGUCCUGGUGUAGCGGUGAAAUGCGUAGAUAUCAGGAGGAACACCGGUGGCGAAGGCGGCCUGCUGGACUGCAACUGACGUUGAGGCCCGAAAGCGUGGGGAGCAAACAGGAUUAGAUACCCGGGUAGUC
rnacentral:rRNA from 1 species